GCCUGGUGUGGUGGAGUGUGCUGGUAUUCCCAGCUACUUGGGAGGCUGAGGCGGGAGGAUCCUUUGAGCCCAGGAGUUCUGGGCUGUAGUGCGCUAUGCCAAUCAGGUGUCUGCACUAAGUUUAGCAUCAACUUCCUGGGAGUGGGGGACCACCAGGUUGCUUAAGGAGGGGUUAACCAGUUCAGGUCGGAGACUGAGCAGGUCAAAACUCCUGUGCUGAUGAGUAGUGGCAUCACGCCUGUGAAUAGCCACUGCACUUCAGCCUGGGCAACAUAGUGAGACCCUGUCU
rnacentral:SRP_RNA from 10 species